UUCCUCAGAUCUUCCAUAGCUAGGCUUCCUGUAGCCUUCCUCUUGAUCCUCAGAUCUUCCAUAGCUAGGCUUCCUGUAACUUCCUUCUUCCUGAUCCUCAGAUCUUCCAUAGCUAGGUUUCUUGUAACCUUCCUCUUGUUCCUCAGACCUUCCAUAGCUAGGCUUCCUGUAACCUUCUUCUUGUUCCUCAGACCUACCAUAGCUAGGCUUACGCUCAUACUCAGACUCUGAUCUGCCACCAUAUCCAGAUCCAAGACCCGAUUCAGGUCUCCUCCCAUACUCAACCUCAGUUCUUCCACCACCAGAUCCAUACUCCGAUUGAUUCUCCGUUCUACCACCAUAACUCUGCUCAGGUCUCCGACCAUACUCCGUCUCAGUUUCACCACCAUAUCCAGAUUCAGGCCUCCUACCAUACUCACUCUCCGUCUGACCACCAUAACCAGAUCCAGAUCCAUAACCAGGAUUCGGCCUCUCACCUUGAACAUGACCGCCACCACCUGAAUCGGGUCGAAAUGCGGGUCGUGGCUUGGGUCGAGAAUAGCUACUGUACUCUGUGUUGAG
rnacentral:lncRNA from 1 species